rnacentral:rRNA from 1 species
UACCAGCACCCCGAGUGGUCGGGACGAUUAUUGGGCCUAAAGCAUCCGUAGCCGGCCUUACAAGUCCUCCGUUAAAUCCAGCUGCUUAACAGAUGGGCUGCGGAGGAUACUAUAAGACUAGGAGGCAGGAGAGGCAAGCGGUACUCAGUGGGUAGGGGUAAAAUCCGUUGAUCCAUUGAAGACCACCAGUGGCGAAGGCGGCUUGCCAGAAUGCGCUCGACGGUGAGGGAUGAAAGCUGGGGGAGCAAGCCGG